GCCCGUCCCAUUGUGCUACCAUACCUGUCUUAACGUCAUCCCGAUCAAAAGGCGAGAUCCAUGCAAAACCCGCCCUAAACCGGCGGUUCGAGCGAGCAGGCCGGUUUUUGUGAUAUUCAAUUGUGCUUUAGAUGAGACGUCUAGGGUUUAGUUGCGGGUUUCCUCUCCUUUCACAACGCAUCACCCACCAAGUCGCGAGACGAGAUCUUCCACUUCCUACCCGGUGCCGCCGCCGCCCCCACCUGGUAUGCCUCUCUGUUCCCCUCCCUCCAUCUAUCUGUCUCCUUCUCAACCCCAAUCCUAUUCUGGUCGUUGUUUUUUUGUUUGAAAAAUGAUCUCUUUUUUUAGUGUUAGAUGUUUCACUAACUACCGUUCAUUCUCUCUAGAUCCCACCAAUAAUUCACUAAUUCAGUCCCUAGUCGGUACUCUAUAAUUGGUUAGAGGAAGCCGCCUUUUUUAAGAAGAAAGAUAAGAAUCAGCCUUCAGUUCAUUCCGUUUCAUGACAGUAGGGAAUACCUUGAUUUAAUUUGAUGAAAAUUGAAAGUUUGUUUUUAAUAAAGUGACAUCUUUCUGUUUGUUCCCUUUUUUUUUCAAACAAUUUGUGUUUAAACUUUUAUACGCCCCCACAAAAAUUAUAAGACAUAGUGUAAGUUGAUUUUUUUCAUGUAUAUAUUUUCAGAUCUAUUUUCUUUUAAAUA
rnacentral:lncRNA from 1 species